ensembl:snRNA U1 U1 spliceosomal RNA
GUACUUACCUAGAGGUGCCAUGGUCAGGAAGGUGGUUUCCAGGGCGAGGCUUACCCAUGGCACCCAGAUGUGCUGACCCCUGCGACUUCCCCAAGUGUGGGAAACUCGACGGCGUGAUUUGUGGUAGUGAGGGACUGCAUUCGCACGCUCCCCUG